GACGUAGGGCGCGAGCGUUGUCCGGAUUUAUUGGGCGUAAAGAGCUCGUAGGCGGUUUGUCGCGUCGGCCGUGAAAUCUCCACGCUUAACGUGGAGCGUGCGGUCGAUACGGGCAGACUUGAGUUCGGUAGGGGAGACUGGAAUUCCUGGUGUAGCGGUGAAAUGCGCAGAUAUCAGGAGGAACACCGGUGGCGAAGGCGGGUCUCUGGGCUGAUACUGACGCUGAGGAGCGAAAGCGUGGGGAGCGAACAGG
rnacentral:rRNA from 1 species